UUUGAUGGNGACCGGCGCACGGGUGAGUAACACGUAUCCAACCUGCCGAUGACUCGGGGAUAGCCUUUCGAAAGAAAGAUUAAUACCCGAUGGCAUAGUUCUUCCGCAUGGUAGAACUAUUAAAGAAUUUCGGUCAUCGAUGGGGAUGCGUUCCAUUAGGUUGUUGGCGGGGUAACGGCCCACCAAGCCUUCGAUGGAUAGGGGUUCUGAGAGGAAGGUCCCCCACAUUGGAACUGAGACACGGUCCAAACUCCUACGGGAGGCAGCAUG
rnacentral:rRNA from 1 species